GUGAGGAAUUUUCCGCAAUGGGCGAAAGCCUGACGGAGCAAUGCCGCGUGAAGGAUGAAGGCCUAUGGGUUGUAAACUUCUUUUCUCAGAAAAGAAUUAUGACGGUAUCUGAGGAAUAAGCAUCGGCUAACUCUGUUCCAGCAGCCGCGGUAAGACAGAGGAUGCAAGCGUUAUCCGGAAUGAUUGGGCGUAAAGCGUCUGUAGGUUGUUUAAAAAGUAUUCUGUCAAAGAUUAGGGCUUAACCCUAGAUAGGCAGAAUAAACUUUUAAGCUAGAGUUUGGUAGAGGCAGAGGGAAUUCCCGGUGGAGCGGUGAAAUGCGUAGAUAUCGGGAGGAACACCAAAGGCGAAGGCACUCUGCUGGGCCAAUACUAACACUGAGAGACGAAAGCGAGGGGAGCAAAUGGGAUUAGAUACCCGGGUAGUCC
rnacentral:rRNA from 1 species